rnacentral:rRNA from 1 species
GAUGAACGCUGGCGGCGUGCCUAAUACAUGCAAGUCGAGCGAACGGACGAGAAUCUUGCUUCUCUGAUGUUAGCGGCGGACGGGUGAGUAACACGUGGAUAACCUACCUAUAAGACUGGGAUAAUUUCGGGAAACCGGAGCUAAUACCGGAUAAUAUUUUGAACCGCAUGGUUCAAAAGUGAAAGACGGUUUUGCUGUCACUUAUAGAUGGAUCCGCGCUGCAUUAGCUAGUUGGUAAGGUAACGGCUUACCAAGGCAACGAUGCAUAGCCGACCUGAGAGGGUGAUCGGCCACACUGGAACUGAGACACGGUCCAGACUCCUACGGGAGGCAGCAGUAGGGAAUCGUCCGAGAUGGGCGAAAGCCUGACGGAGCAACGCCGCGUGAGUGAUGAAGGUCUUCGGAUCGUAAAACUCUGUUAUUAGGGAAGAACAUAUGUGUAAGUAACUGUGCACAUCUUGACGGUACCUAAUCAGAAAGCCACGGCUAACUACGUG